GAUGAACGCUGGCGGCGUGCCUAAUACAUGCAAGUCGAGCGAACGGACGAGAAGCUUGCUUCUCUGAUGUUAGCGGCGGACGGGUGAGUAACACGUGGAUAACCUACCUAUAAGACUGGGAUAACUUCGGGAAACCGUAGCUAAUACCGGAUAAUAUUUUGAACCGCAUGGUUCAAAAGUGAAAGACGGUCUUGCUGUCACUUAUAGAUGGAUCCGCGCUGCAUUAGCUAGUUGUAAGGUAACGGCUUACCAAGGCAACGAUGCAUAGCCGACCUGAGAGGGUGAUCGGCCACACUGGAACUGAGACACGGUCCAGACUCCUACGGGAGGCAGCAGUAGGGAAUCUUCCGCAAUGGGCGAAAGCCUGACGGAGCAACGCCGCGUGAGUGAUGAAGGUCUUCGGAUCGUAAAACUCUGUUAUUAGGGAAGAACAUAUGUGUAAGUAACUGUGCACAUCUUGACGGUACCUAAUCAGAAAGCCACGGCUAACUACGUG
rnacentral:rRNA from 1 species